rnacentral:rRNA from 1 species
UACGGAAGGGGCAAGCGUUGUUCGGAAUUACUGGGCGUAAAGAGCUCGUAGGUGGUUUGUCGCGUUGUCCGUGAAAACUCACAACUCAAUUGUGGGCGUGCGGGCGAUACGGGCAGACUGGAGUACUGCAGGGGAGACUGGAAUUCCUGGUGUAGCGGUGGAAUGCGCAGAUAUCAGGAGGAACACCGGUGGCGAAGGCGGGUCUCUGGGCAGUAACUGACGCUGAGGAGCGAAAGCGUGGGGAGCGAACAGG